rnacentral:SRP_RNA from 1 species
GCCAGGCGUGGAGACGCGCGCCUGUAAUCCUAACUACUUUGGAGGCUGAGGCAGGACACUCGCUUGAACCUGGGAGGCAGAGGUUACAGUGAGCCACCAAGAUCGAGAUCGUGCCACUGCACUCCAGCCUGGGCGACAGAGCGAGGUUCUGUCUCAA